rnacentral:rRNA from 1 species
UACGUAGGGGGCAAGCGUUGUCCGGAAUCAUUGGGCGUAAAGAGCGCGUAGGCGGUCCGGUAAGUCCGCUGUGAAAGUCGAGGGCUCAACCCUCGAAUGCCGGCGGAUACUGUCGGGCUAGAGUCCGGAAGAGGCGAGUGGAAUUCCUGGUGUAGCGGUGAAAUGCGCAGAUAUCAGGAGGAACACCUACGGCGAAGGCAGCUCGCUGGGACGGUACUGACGCUGAGACGCGAAAGCGUGGGGAGCAAACAGG